GAUGAAGAACGUAGCGAAAUGCGAUACGUAAUGUGAAUUGCAGAAUUCAGUGAAUCAUCGAGUCUUUGAACGCACAUUGCGCCCUCUGGUAUUCCGGAGGGCAUGCCUGUCCGAGCGUCAUUGCUGCCCUCAAGCACGGCUUGUGUGUUGGGCCCCGCCCCCCGAUCCCGGGGGGCGGGCCCGAAAGGCAGCGGCGGCACCGCGUCCGGUCCUCGAGCGUAUGGGGCUUUGUCACCCGCUCUGUAGGCCCGGCCGGCGCUUGCCGAUCAACCAAACUUUUUUCCAGGUUGACCUCGGAUCAGGUAGGGAUACCCGCUGAACUUAAGCAUAUCAAUAAGCGGAGA
rnacentral:misc_RNA from 1 species